rnacentral:misc_RNA from 1 species
GAUGAAGAACGUAGUGAAAUGCGAUAAGUAAUGUGAAUUGCAGAAUUCCGUGAAUCAUCGAAUCUUUGAACGCACAUUGCGCCUUCUGGUAUUCCGGAAGGCAUGCCUGUUCGAGAGUCAUUAACAACCGUUUCGAUCCCUUUCUUUCAGAAAUUACAAAGAGGAAAAGGGUUUGGUUAUGGUGGAGGAGGGAAAGGGAGCGUUUAGCCUGUAAAAAAAGAGGCUGUGUUCCGCCUCCCCCCCAAAAUUGUACAGGCGGUCGUGUGCGCCCACGCAUCGAGGUGUUGUAAAAGCUGCCACGGCACUUUUCACCUGUGCAGUGCGAGAUUGGCCAGCCGGUUUAAAAACCCCUCCAAACAAUCAAAGGUUGACCUCGGAUCAGGUAGGGAUACCCGCUGAACUUAAGCAUAUCAAUAAGCGGAGGA